rnacentral:rRNA from 1 species
CCUUUGAGCCGAAGUGAAUAACGCCCCGCUUCCAGGAAAAGCCUCUAAGCUUCAGAUCACAUUGGACCGUACCGUAAACCGACACUGGUGGGUGAGCAGACAAUCUGCCAAGGCGCUUGAGAGAACUCGGGUUAAGGAACUCCGCAAAUUGAUACCGUAACUUCGGAAGAAGGUAUGCCUUCGAUGGUGUAGGGAUUUACUCCCGAAGCUGUUGAAGGUCGCAGGUAAUCGGUGGCUGCGACUGUUUAUCAAAAACACAGGACUCUGCGAACACGCAAGUGGAAGUAUAGGGUCUGACGCCUGCCCGGUGCCGGAAGGUUAAUUGAUGGGGUUAGCCGCAAGGCGAAGCUCUUGAUCGAAGCCCCGGUAAACGGCGGCCGUAACGAUAACGGUCCUAAGGUAGCGAAAUUCCUUGUCGGGUAAGUUCCGACCUGCACGAAUGGCGUAACGCUGGCCACACUGUCUCGACCCGAGACUCAGUGAAGUUGAAAUCGCUGUGAAGAUGCGGCGUUCCCGCGGCAAGACGGAAAGACCCCGUGAACCUUCACUACAGCUUUACACUGAACUUUGAACCUUUCUGUGUAGGAUAGGUGGGAGGCUAUGAAACUUGGGCGCUAGCUCGAGUGGAGCCAACCUUGAAAUACCACCCUGGGAUGUUUGAAGUUCUAACCUUGGUCCGUAAUCCGGAUUGGGGACAGUGUAUGGUGGGUAGUUUGACUGGGGCGGUCUCCUCCCAAAGAGUAACGGAGGAGUGCAAUGGUACGCUCAGCGCGGUCGGUCAUCGCGCUCUAGAGUGCAAAGGCAUAAGCGUGCUUAACUGUGAGACAGACACGUCGAACAGGUACGAAAGUAGGUCUUAGUGAUCCGGUGGUUCUGUAUGGAAGGGCCAUCGCUCAACGGAUAAAAGGUACUCCGGGGAUAACAGGCUUAUUCCUCCCAAGAGUCCACAUCGACGGAGGAGUUUGGCACCUCGAUGUCGGCUCAUCACAUCCUGGGGCUGUAGCAGGUCCCAAGGGUAUGGCUGUUCGCCAUUUAAAGUGGUACGCGAGCUGGGUUCAGAACGUCGUGAGACAGUUCGGUCCCUAUCUGCCGUGGGCGUUGGAAACUUGAGGGUGAGCUGUCCUUAGUACGAGAGGACCGGGAUGGACGUAUCUCUGGUGUUCCGGUUGUCACGCCAGUGGCACUGCCGGGUAGCUAUAUACGGACGGGAUAAGCGCUGAAAGCAUCUAAGCGCGAAGCCCCCCCCAAGAUUAGGUUUCCCUGGGAACUCGAUUCCCCUAAAGGGCCGUCGGAGACUACGACGUUGAUAGGCUGGGUGUGUAAGUGCAGCAAUGCAUUGAGCUAACCAGUACUAAUUGCCCGUGAGGCUUGAUC